rnacentral:rRNA from 1 species
UCGAACGAUGAAGCUGGAGCUUGCUCCGGUGGAUUAGUGGCGAACGGGUGAGUAACACGUGAGCAAUCUGCCCUUGACUCUGGGAUAACUGCGGGAAACUGUAGCUAAUACCGGAUACGACGCCUUGGGGCAUCCCACGGGCGUGGAAAGAAUUUUGGUCAAGGAUGAGCUCGCGGCCUAUCAGCUAGUUGGUGAGGUAAUGGCUCACCAAGGCGACGACGGGUAGCCGGCCUGAGAGGGUGACCGGCCACACUGGGACUGAGACACGGCCCAGACUCCUACGGGAGGCAGCAGUGGGGAAUAUUGCGCAAUGGGCGAAAGCCUGACGCAGCAACGCCGCGUGAGGGAUGAAGGCCUUCGGGUUGUAAACCUCUUUUAUCAGGGAAGAAGCGAAAGUGACGGUACCUGAAGAAAAAGCACCGGCUAACUACGUGCCAGCAGCCGCGGUAAUACGUAGGGUGCAAGCGUUAUCCGGAAUUAUUGGGCGUAAAGAGCUCGUAGGCGGUUUGUCGCGUCUGCUGUGAAAAUCUGAGGCUCAACCUCGGACUUGCAGUGGGUACGGGGCAGACUAGAGUGCAGUAGGGGAGAAGGGAAUUCCUGGUGUAGCGGUGGAAUGCGCAGAUAUCAGGAGGAACACCAAUGGCGAAGGCACUUCUCUGGGCUGUAACUGACGCUGAGGAGCGAAAAGCGUGGGGAGCGAACAGGAUUAGAUAACCCUGGUAGUCCACGCGCGUAAACGUUGGGCGCUAGAUGUGGGUCACAUUCCACGUGAUCCGUGUCGCAGCUAACGC